CCAAAUAAAUGGAUACAUCCAAAAUUUUGUGGCAAACCCAUCUAAAGAAAUUCAAGAGAAGAUUCACACAAUUUUACAGUUAAACUUCAUCAAGCCAUCAACAUUGCACAACAAAACCAUUUUCCUUUUCCUUCUAUGCUUCCUUUUCCAUGUCCCUACAUAAAUAACAACAAUAGAAGUCCCAAUAUUACCAUUUUACACCAGACAUAGGGAUCCAUCCGAAGAUUUAUUAUAGGAUAACAUAAGAGCAUCAAAUAAAUUUGACUUUACUGCUGUAUAUUUAUUAUUUUAUUCAUCAUCUUUAUCCCAAUUAAAAAUUAAAAAUAUUAAAUAGUACCACUAUAAUUAUUAUAUUAAUUUAUAUGUUAAACUGUGUCAUCAAGUCCCACUCACGUGUCCGUUUCGUUUUAUCUCUUUGUGCAUUGAAAUUAAAAAUUAAAAAUAUUAAAUAAUACCACUAUAAUUAUUAAUAUUAAUUUUUUAUGUUAAAUCGUGUCAUCAACUCCCACUCACUUGUCCGUUUCUUUUUAUCUCUUUGUGCAUUGAAAUUGAAGAAUUGAAAAGGAGAAAACAGAGAGAGAAAUUCAUUCAAAAUUCUCUAUUCAAAUUAAUUCUAAGACAUUUAAUUGUAAAGAUAAAAUUUGGAUGGAAAGAAAAUAAAUUCAGAAAAUUGAAUUGCUUAGAAAUUAUUUUACUGACAUAAUUGUCAAUUACUGUGUUUGAUUGGUAUAAUUUUUCAUGUAAAAAUUGUUGAAAUAAAAGUGUGUGUGUGUGUGUGUAUAUAUAUAUUUGUAUUCAUUUGGCUUUUUUUAAUAUGAAAAUUGUCAAUUAAAGUGAUAGAAUUUACUGAUAUCGAGGAUAGAAUUUGUUUUCAUUGUACAAAAAAAAUAAAAAAAUAAAGAAAAUCAUCUAUCUUUUGGUGUUCGUUUAACUUUAUUUUACAUGGAAAUUGUUAUUAAAGGAUUUUUUUUUUUUUUUUUACAAAUAGGGAUAAAACUCGUUUUCAUUGCCCAAAAAAAUAAAAAAUAAAAAAAAUCGACAGCCUACCUAGAAAAUCAAGAAAAUGCCCACUUUGCAAGAAAAUUAAUUCCAUAGAAAAAAUAUAUGCUAUCAAACAACUAAAAAGUGAAAGUUGGAAUUUGAAUUCCAUUUUCCAUGAAAAAUAAUGGCCAAUCAAACAUGGCCUAUGUCUUCUUUUACAUUUCUAGAGAGAGAAAAUUAAGGCUCAAGACUUUGAUUUUUAAUUUCUCUUGCAUAAACAAAUUAUGAAAAAUUGUUUCGAUACACAAGGAAAAUGAAGAGAGGCUCACAGUCACAGUCAUUAACGACAGCAGGUUACAAGUAUCAAGCUGGCAGUGCGUCGUUGGCCUACGCGAUGGAGGGAGCUUAGAAUCAGAUAGGGUUUGGUAACUCUGGUUUGCUUGUGUG
rnacentral:lncRNA from 1 species